rnacentral:rRNA from 1 species
CCAAGGAGUCUAACAUGUGCGCGAGUCGUCGGGUCUUGAAUAGGCCCGCAGGCGAAAUGAAAGUGAAGGGCGACCCAGUCGUCGCCUGCGUUGGGAUCCCCGGGCCGCAGAGUCCGGGGCGCACCAACGGCCCGUCCCGUCCGCGUCGUCGGUGGGACGGAGCGAGAGCGUACACGUUGGGACCCGAAAGAUGGUGAACUAUGCCUGGGCAGGACGAGGCCAGAGGAAACUCUGGUGGAGGUCCGCAGCGAUUCUGACGUGCAAAUCGAUCGUCAGACCUGGGUAUAGGGGCGAAAGACUAAUCGAACCGUCUAGUAGCUGGUUCCCUCCGAAGUUUCCCUCAGGAUAGCUGGCGCUCGAGGGAGUCAGUCUCAUCCGGUAAAGCGAAUGAUUAGAGGCCUUGGGGCCGAAACGACCUCAACCUAUUCUCAAACUUUCAAUGGGUGAGAAGUCCGGUUUACAUGACUGAAGCCCGGACAAUUCUCAGGAUGCGAGUGCCCAGUGGGCCACUUUU